CAGCAGCCCGAGUGGUGGUCGUUUUUAUUGGGCCUAAAGCGUCCGUAGCCGGUCUAGUAAAUCUUUGGAUAAAUCGUACAGCUUAACUGUACGGCUCCCGGGGAGACUGCUAGACUUGGGACUGGGAGAGGUCGGAGAUACUCCAGGGGUAGGGGUGAAAUCUUGUAAUCCUUGGGGGACCACCAGUGGCGAAGGCGUCCGACUAGAACGGGUCCGACGGUAAGGGACGAAGCCCUGGGGCGCGAACCGGAUUAGAUACCCGGGUAGUCC
rnacentral:rRNA from 1 species